rnacentral:rRNA from 1 species
CGCUGGCGGCGUGCUUAACACAUGCAAGUCGAACGAUGAAGCGGUGCUUGCACCGUGGAUUAGUGGCGAACGGGUGAGUAAUACGUGAGUGACCUACCUUUGACUCUGGGAUAAGCCUGGGAAACUGGGUCUAAUACCGGAUACGACCAAUCUCUGCAUGGGGUGUUGGUGGAAAGCGUUAUGGAGUGGUUUUAGAUGGGCUCACGGCCUAUCAGCUUGUUGGUGAGGUAAUGGCUUACCAAGGCGACGACGGGUAGCCGGCCUGAGAGGGUGACCGGCCACACUGGGACUGAGACACGGCCCAGACUCCUACGGGAGGCAGCAGUGGGGAAUAUUGCACAAUGGGCGCAAGCCUGAUGCAGCGACGCCGCGUGAGGGAUGACGGCCUUCGGGUUGUAAACCUCUGUUAGCAUCGAAGAAGCGAAAGUGACGGUAGGUGCAGAGAAAGCGCCGGCUAACUAC